rnacentral:rRNA from 1 species
AGCUCCAAUAGCGUAUAUUAACAUUGCUGCAGUUAAAAAGCUCGUAGUCAAACUUCUGGGUGUGCAAGCUCGAGUGUUCCGCACGGAAUUAAUCUCGGUUCGCUUAGCACCCCAUAAUUCCUGAGAAGGCUCUCAUGCUCUUGAUUGAGUGGAGGGUCGAAUCAGGUCUUUUACUGUGAACAAAUGAAAGUGUUCAAAGCAGGCGAAAUCAAGCCUGAAUCUUUUAGCAUGGAAUAAUAAGAUAAAACUUUGGUUUUAUUUUGUUGGUCUAAGACUAAAGUAAUGAUUGAAAGGGAUGGUUGGGGGUGCUCGUAUUCAGGGGCUAGCGGUGAAAUGCGAUGAUUCCCUGAAGACGAACUAAUGCGAAAGCAUUCACCAAGGACAUCUUCUUUGAUCAAGA